GGGACACGUGGUAUCCUGUCUGAAUAUGGGGGGACCAUCCUCCAAGGCUAAAUACUCCUGACUGACCGAUAGUGAACCAGUACCGUGAGGGAAAGGCGAAAAGAACCCCGGCGAGGGGAGUGAAAAAGAACCUGAAACCGUGUACGUACAAGCAGUGGGAGCCUCUUUAUGGGGUGACUGCGUACCUUUUGUAUAAUGGGUCAGCGACUUAUAUUCUGUAGCAAGGUUAACCGAAUAGGGGAGCCGAAGGGAAACCGAGUCUUAACUGGGCGUUAAGUUGCAGGGUAUAGACCCGAAACCCGGUGAUCUAGCCAUGGGCAGGUUGAAGGUUGGGUAACACUAACUGGAGGACCGAACCGACUAAUGUUGAAAAAUUAGCGGAUGACUUGUGGCUGGGGGUGAAAGGCCAAUCAAACCGGGAGAUAGCUGGUUCUCCCCGAAAGCUAUUUAGGUAGCGCCUCGUGAAUUCAUCUCCGGGGGUAGAGCACUGUUUCGGCAAGGGGGUCAUCCCGACUUACCAACCCGAUGCAAACUGCGAAUACCGGAGAAUGUUAUCACGGGAGACACACGGCGGGUGCUAACGUCCGUCGUGAAGAGGGAAACAACCCAGACCGCCAGCUAAGGUCCCAAAGUCAUGGUUAAGUGGGAAACGAUGUGGGAAGGCCCAGACAGCCAGGAUGUUGGCUUAGAAGCAGCCAUCAUUUAAAGAAAGCGUAAUAGCUCACUGGUCGAGUCGGCCUGCGCGGAAGAUGUAACGGGGCUAAACCAUGCACCGAAGCUGCGGCAGCGACACUAAGUGUUGUUGGGUAGGGGAGCGUUCUGUAAGCCUGUGAAGGUGUACUGUGAGGUAUGCUGGAGGUAUCAGAAGUGCGAAUGCUGACAUAAGUAACGAUAAAGCGGGUGAAAAGCCCGCUCGCCGGAAGACCAAGGGUUCCUGUCCAACGUUAAUCGGGGCAGGGUGAGUCGACCCCUAAGGCGAGGCCGAAAGGCGUAGUCGAUGGGAAACAGGUUAAUAUUCCUGUACUUGGUGUUACUGCGAAGGGGGGACGGAGAAGGCUAUGUUGGCCGGGCGACGGUUGUCCCGGUUUAAGCGUGUAGGCUGGUUUUCCAGGCAAAUCCGGAAAAUCAAGGCUGAGGCGUGAUGACGAGGCACUACGGUGCUGAAGCAACAAAUGCCCUGCUUCCAGGAAAAGCCUCUAAGCAUCAGGUAACAUCAAAUCGUACCCCAAACCGACACAGGUGGUCAGGUAGAGAAUACCAAGGCGCUUGAGAGAACUCGGGUGAAGGAACUAGGCAAAAUGGUGCCGUAACUUCGGGAGAAGGCACGCUGAUAUGUAGGUGAAGCGACUUGCUCGUGGAGCUGAAAUCAGUCGAAGAUACCAGCUGGCUGCAACUGUUUAUUAAAAACACAGCACUGUGCAAACACGAAAGUGGACGUAUACGGUGUGACGCCUGCCCGGUGCCGGAAGGUUAAUUGAUGGGGUUAGCGCAAGCGAAGCUCUUGAUCGAAGCCCCGGUAAACGGCGGCCGUAACUAUAACGGUCCUAAGGUAGCGAAAUUCCUUGUCGGGUAAGUUCCGACCUGCACGAAUGGCGUAAUGAUGGCCAGGCUGUCUCCACCCGAGACUCAGUGAAAUUGAACUCGCUGUGAAGAUGCAGUGUACCCGCGGCAAGACGGAAAGACCCCGUGAACCUUUACUAUAGCUUGACACUGAACAUUGAGCCUUGAUGUGUAGGAUAGGUGGGAGGCUUUGAAGUGUGGACGCCAGUCUGCAUGGAGCCGACCUUGAAAUACCACCCUUUAAUGUUUGAUGUUCUAACGUUGGCCCCUGAUCGGGGUUGCGGACAGUGUCUGGUGGGUAGUUUGACUGGGGCGGUCUCCUCCUAAAGAGUAACGGAGGAGCACGAAGGUUGGCUAAUCCUGGUCGGACAUCAGGAGGUUAGUGCAAUGGCAUAAGCCAGCUUGACUGCGAGCGUGACGGCGCGAGCAGGUGCGAAAGCAGGUCAUAGUGAUCCGGUGGUUCUGAAUGGAAGGGCCAUCGCUCAACGGAUAAAAGGUACUCCGGGGAUAACAGGCUGAUACCGCCCAAGAGUUCAUAUCGACGGCGGUGUUUGGCACCUCGAUGUCGGCUCAUCACAUCCUGGGGCUGAAGUAGGUCCCAAGGGUAUGGCUGUUCGCCAUUUAAAGUGGUACGCGAGCUGGGUUUAGAACGUCGUGAGACAGUUCGGUCCCUAUCUGCCGUGGGCGCUGGAGAACUGAGGGGGGCUGCUCCUAGUACGAGAGGACCGGAGUGGACGCAUCACUGGUGUUCGGGUUGUCAUGCCAAUGGCACUGCCCGGUAGCUAAAUGCGGAAGAGAUAAGUGCUGAAAGCAUCUAAGCACGAAACUUGCCCCGAGAUGAGUUCUCCCUGACUCCUUGAGAGUCCUGAAGGAACGUUGAAGACGACGACGUUGAUAGGCCGGGUGU
rnacentral:rRNA from 1 species